GACGAACGCUGGCGGCGUGCUUAACACAUGCAAGUCGAACGGAAAGGCUCCAGCUUGCUGGAGUACUCGAGUGGCGAACGGGUGAGUAACACGUGGGUAAUCUGCCCUGCACUCUGGGAUAGGCCUGGGAAACUGGGUCUAAUACUGGAUAUGACCUUUCUCCUUAUGGGGUUUGGUGGAAAGUUUUUCGGUGUAGGAUGAGCCCGCGGCCUAUCAGCUUGUUGGUGGGGUGAUGGCCUACCAAGGCGACGACGGGUAGCCGGCCUGAGAGGGUGAUCGGCCACAUUGGGACUGAGAUACGGCCCAGACUCCUACGGGAGGCAGCAGUGGGGAAUAUUGCACAAUGGGCGGAAGCCUGAUGCAGCGACGCCGCGUGAGGGAUGACGGCCUUCGGGUUGUAAACCUCUUUCAGCAGGGACGAGGCGUAAGUGACGGUACCUGCAGAAGAAGCACCGGCUAACUAUGUG
rnacentral:rRNA from 1 species